rfam:Schistosoma rodhaini strain Burundi genome assembly, scaffold: SROB_scaffold0000737
AUCUAGCUGACGAGUCUCAAAUAGGACGAAACGCGCGUUCUGGAU